GAAAUUGGUUUAUUUCUCCUUCAUUCUCUGUUACCUUUGCUCGUUUCCAUGCCCUGAUUCCUUGUUCUAAAAGAAAGAGUUUCUCACAAGGGUCCGUGGCUUUGUUUGUGUUCUCUAAGAAGCUAGCAGAAGAAAAUGAUGCCCCUCUCGUGGCUUCAAAAUGGCCUGGAAUUCGAGGAAGGACAGAUUGAGACCAGAGUCCCUCCCUGCUUUGCCUAACUGCUUUGCAAGCUCAGAGAAGAAACAGAAUCGAGAGAAGACUUCUACAUAUCCAUCCAGAGAGACAAAGAAUGACAAGAAACAGAAACAAAUGGUUCUACUGUGGAAAACUCUAGAGGACAUUGGCUGAAUAACACAGAAAACACAGAAAGGGAUAAACGGAUGGCGAUAGAGUUGGGACAGUGGAAUUCUUGUUCAGCUCUUGUGGUUUUCUUCUAAAGCCCAGGGAGUCACUGCAUGGAAUCAUGAGAAGUGGAGGAAAAGCUUUCCAAGUCACCUGGUGUGCCUCCGCCAUCCCUGCAUCCCCACAGACAAUGCCUGUGCCCCUGGCUAAGAGGUUCUAACCAGAGAAACUUCUGUGGAGCAGCCCUGGACUGCUGGGCUCCUCUCCCUAACCUGUUUGAAUUCAGAGAGUCCAGAGCAUUUCCACCUGCCAGCUCCAAGCUGCUGUCCAUAGUAGGAGUUGGCCUACCACGGCCCUCAGGUCGAAUCUAAACAGAAUACUGUUUUAUAGUCAGAAAGCUAAAAUUGAUUUCUCAAUUUAAAUUAUUUUUACAUUUUUAAGGUGUAAGAACCUUUUACGCAGGGUGUGGUGGUGCACACCUUUAAUCCCAGCACUUGGAAGACAGAGGCAGGAGGAUCUCUAUAGGUUUGAGGCCAGCCUGGUCUGCAAAGAGAAUUACAGAACAGCUAAGGCUGUUACACAGAGAAACCCUGUCUCAAGCAAGGAAACCAACAAACCUUUUUUACAUCUUAGGGAACUUUCAUGACAUGAAGCUACAUUAGAUUCAAAUUUCAGUAUCCGUAAAUGAAGUUUUAUUGACACUCAGUCACACCCAACUGUCUCCACGUUGUCUCUGACAGCUUUUGCUCUACAGUGUCAGAGCCCAGUAGAAACAGAACCUCCUCCACAGCCUGCAAGACCUAGUAUUGACUGCCUGUAUCCUUACAGAAAAACAUUGCCAACCCCUACGUCAGAAUUACAAAAGUAAUCCUGAGCCCUCUGUGAAGUCUGAGCAAUAUCACUAUGUCGACAGUUCUCCCUAACAAACCCUUGGAAGGGCCUCUUAGAGUCCAGUAGUUGUCCUGGGCACUAGAAGCAUUUGAAAACAGCAUUAGUAAUACUAAGUGGUCCCAAACUUCAAGGAUCCAAGACAGGUAGACAGCAGUUACGAUGUAAGCAGUACUUAAGACCAUAGACCCCAGAGUCAGACUGCCGAGGCUUGGAGAACAGCUCUGUCCAAACAGCAACACCAUGUUCACGAGACCUGCCUUGGUCACAAUUUGCUCUGUCUGAGAAGAGUAGUUGGGCAUUGGACUCACCCAAAAGGACUGUUUCUGGACUAAGAGGCUGUGCAAGGGUCACACAAAGUAUCGGCUGGGACAGAAUGUUCAGUGAACAUGCUCAUCACCAUCACCAUCUACACACAAAGAAAUAUAAUCAAGACUAAGACUGGGGUGGAAGUCUGCGAGUGAAAGUAGAGAUGCCCAGCAGGAAGCAGAGACAUCAGUCUCUUAGAAGGAGUCUAGGAAGAGCUUCAUGAGUGAAAAGACCUUCUCUCUUCUCCACCACUGUCACCUUCAACUCCUCAAAACAAAAGACCUGAGGUCAUCUUUGUUCCCUUUCCCCAGCAGUACCAAGUCACCUUCACCCUGCUCUGCACACAGCUUGUCUCUAUCUACAUCGGUUCUUCCCUAUCUCUUUGCAUCUCUGCCCUCCUCUAAUCACCUCUCCCUGCUCUUGAGAUUAGUUCCCACUUCCUGAGUGUGGUGGUUUGAAUAAAAUAUGGAAGUGGUA